rnacentral:snRNA from 1 species
UUGCUUCAGCAGUAUAUAUACUAAAAUGGGAACAAUAAAGAGAUUAGCAUGUCCCUUGGUUAAGGAUGACACAGAUUCACGAAGUGUUCCUUUUUUUU